CCGAGGCGCCCCGCCUCCUUGCCUUCUCUCCGCGGACCAAACGCUCCGCCGGGCUCUCGGGGUCGAGCUGCCGAACAGUGGAUUCCCGGCUGUUGCGAAGACUGCGGGGCGGGCGCCUAGGUUGCCGGGGUGCGGGAAGUUUGAACACGGGGCCAGGGGAGGGGCGGGACCGUAGCUCCCCCGCGGCGGCGACGCGGCGGCUCCGCACCAGGGUAACGGAGACGGAGGCCCAUACUGCACUGCGGCAAGGCUUUGGCCAGGGAUGCCCGCCCCCCUCAAGCUCCCAUUGGCCUCCGGCAUUAGACGGCCAUUCCCAUUGGGCUCAGUGGAGCCGGAAGGCGGGACGAGAAGAACGGAGGAAGGCGGCCAUUGGUGGACGGCUCCGCGGUAGCGGCGACCGAGAGCAGGGAUGCGGUUCGCGCCCCGGCCCGAGAGACCGCGCGGGGGCCUCUUAGGCGGUGCUGGGCGGCCCGCGACCCGCGGCUUCCAGGGCCCGGCGUGGCUCGGGGACGGUGUGGGCGGAGGGGAGAGGGGAUUGGUCGUAAUGAAUCGUGCACCUUGGCAAAUGCGCGAUUGGAAACGUUGAAAGUUGUUUUGAGUCCCUUUUGGAAACGAAUUGAUUUUGAGUUAGAAAGAUAUUGUAAACAAAUAGCUAGUUACUUCUCGGUCUUUGCACCGAAAUUGCUUAUUUCCGGGAGGAGGUGGACUUAGUGUACUAAGGCUUCUUCCUCGUCGAGGUCCUGGCCUUAAAUCUCGAAUGCGCCGUGAGUUUGGCUUGAAAGUGAUUUUUGAGGUUUCGGAACCGGUUAGAGGUGGGAUGACAUUUUAGAUUAUUUGCAGUUUUUUUUUUUUUUUUUUUUUUUAAGUGAACGUCUGCGGCGCAGUACCCUUAUAGGAAGAUGCCAAAAAGCUAGCUCUCUGCUCUCUGCCAUGUAAGGAUACAACAAGACAGCCAUCUGUGAACCAGCAAUUGGGUCCUCACCAGACAACAGAUCUGCUGGCUCCCGAUCUUGGACUUCCCAACCUCCAGAACUGAGGAUUCUGAGGUCUAUCACUUAAACUGAGAUUCUCACUGUAUAGAAUUUACACCCAAACUCUACAGAAUGAGACUUUAAGUGGGAACAUGCAGAAAAUCAGGAUAAUUUGGCUGAUAUUGAAGGCGCUCCCUGGCCCGGCGAUGCACAAGGAGGUUAUUGUUUCUCCACUUUACCGCCCGUGCGGAGCUCGGGCUGGGAUCACCUGUCACAGAGCUUAGCGGCCGCAUUCCUGGAGCGCAGCGUCCCAAGGCCAGAGAUGAGACGAUGCCCGCGUCCUUCCCGGGCCGGUGGCCGUGCUGGUUCGCCGCAUCAGCGACCUGUUCCUGGGAGUGACCUAAUAUAAUCAGUAUGUGUUAGACACAUGCUCAGAAUAAAACAAAGCCUCAACCACUCU